rnacentral:rRNA from 1 species
GUCUGCAACCCGACUACAUGAAGCCGGAAUCGCUAGUAAUCGCGGAUCAGAAUGCCGCGGUGAAUACGUUCCCGGGUCUUGUACACACCGCCCGUCACACCAUGGGAGUCGGAAAUGCCCGAAGCCGGUGACCCAACCCGAAAGGGAGGGAGCCGUCGAAGGCAGGUCGGAUGACUGGGGUGAAGUCGUAACAAGGUAAC